GUGUAGCAAUACAUGCUGACGAGUGGCGCACGGGUGCGUAACACGUAUGUAACUUACCUCUAACUGGGGAAUAGCUUCGAGAAAUCGAAAUUAAUGUCCCAUAGUAAUUAGAUCAGGCAUCUGGUUUAAUUUAAAGCUCAGGCGGUUAGAGAUAGACAUGCGUCCUAUUAGCUUGUUGGUGAGGUAACGGCUCACCAAGGCUACGAUAGGUAGGGGGCCUGAGAGGGUUUACCCCCACACUGGAACUGAGACACGGUCCAGACUCCUACGGGAGGCAGCAGUGAGGAAUAUUGGUCAAUGGUCGCAAGACUGAACCAGCCAUGCCGCGUGCAGGAUGAAGGCCCUCUGGGUUGUAAACUGCUUUUCUCAGGGAAUAAACCCUUCUACGUGUAGAAGGCUGAAGGUACCUGAGGAAUAAGCACCGGCUAACUCCGUGCCAGCAGCCGCGGUAAUACGGAGGGUGCAAGCGUUAUCCGGAUUUAUUGGGUUUAAAGGGUGCGCAGGCGGGGCUUUAAGUCAGUGGUGAAAUCUCUUCGCUUAACGAAGAAACUGCCAUUGAUACUGAAGUUCUUGAAUCUAGUUGACGUUAGUGGAAUGUGUCAUGUAGCGGUGAAAUGCUUAGAUAUGACACAGAACACCGAUCGCGAAGGCAGCUAACGAAGCUAGUAUUGACGCUCAGGCACGACAGCAUGGGGAGCAAACAGGAUUAGAUACCCUGGUAGUCCAUGCCGUAAACGUUGAUCACUCGACAUUGGCGAUAUACUGUCAGUGUCCAAGCGAA
rnacentral:rRNA from 1 species